UACAUGCACGUGCAGUUAGAGCUUGACACCUGGACUUUGUAGCUUAGUUAGUUACAGCACUGGACCGGAAUCGCAGAGACGCAGGUUUGAUUCCUGCUAGAUGGCCUAUAGAUGCAUUUAAAUAGAGAGAUUUAUGCCCGUAUUCUAAAAGCUCACUCACACUCGAUGAGUGGAGGUUCAAUCUGAGCUUCUCUUGAGUGUCAAUGCUGUUUUGGAA